rnacentral:ncRNA from 1 species
CAACCUCAACUCAUAUGGGACUACCCCCUGAAUUUAAGCAUAUUAAUUAGGGGAGGAAAAGAAACUAACAAGGAUUUUCUUAGUAGCGGCGAGCGAAAAGAAAACAGUUCAGCACGUAAGUCACUUUGUCUAUAUGGCAAAUGUGAGAUGCAGUGUAU